rnacentral:rRNA from 1 species
AGUGAACGCUGGCGGUAGGCCUAACACAUGCAAGUCGAACGGCAGCACAGUAAGAGCUUGCUCUUACGGGUGGCGAGUGGCGGACGGGUGAGGAAUACAUCGGAAUCUACUUUUUCGUGGGGGAUAACGUAGGGAAACUUACGCUAAUACCGCAUACGACCUACGGGUGAAAGCAGGGGAUCUUCGGACCUUGCGCGAUUGAAUGAGCCGAUGUCGGAUUAGCUAGUUGGCGGGGUAAAGGCCCACCAAGGCGACGAUCCGUAGCUGGUCUGAGAGGAUGAUCAGCCACACUGGAACUGAGACACGGUCCAGACUACUACGAGAGGCAGCAGUGGGGAAUAUUGGACAAUGGGCGCAAGCCUGAUCCAGCCAUACCGCGUGGGUGAAGAAGGCCUUCGGGUUGUAAAGCCCUUUUGUUGGGAAAGAAAAGCAGCAGGUUAAUACCCCGCUGUUCUGACGGUACCCAAAGAAUAAGCACCGGCUAACUUCGUG